rnacentral:rRNA from 1 species
GAUGAACGCUGGCGGCGUGCCUAAUACAUGCAAGUCGAGCGAACAGACGAGGAGCUUGCUCCUCUGACGUUAGCGGCGGACGGGUGAGUAACACGUGGAUAACCUACCUAUAAGACUGGGAUAACUUCGGGAAACCGGAGCUAAUACCGGAUAACAUGUUGAACCGCAUGGUUCAACAGUGAAAGACGGUCUUGCUGUCACUUAUAGAUGGAUCCGCGCCGCAUUAGCUAGUUGGUAAGGUAACGGCUUACCAAGGCAACGAUGCGUAGCCGACCUGAGAGGGUGAUCGGCCACACUGGAACUGAGACACGGUCCAGACUCCUACGGGAGGCAGCAGUAGGGAAUCUUCCGCAAUGGGCGAAAGCCUGACGGAGCAACGCCGCGUGAGUGAAGAAGGUCUUCGGAUCGUAAAGCUCUGUUAUUAGGGAAGAACAAAUGUGUAAGUAACUAUGCACGUCUUGACGGUACCUAAUCAGAAAGCCACGGCUAACUACGUG